UACCUAUUUUUUUUUUUUUUUUUUUUUCUGAGACAGGGUCUCACUCUGUCAACCAGGCUGGAGUGCAGUGGUGCAAUCUCAGCUCACUGCAACCUCCAGCUCCCGGGCUCAAGGGAUCCUCUUGCCUCGGCCUCCUGAGUACCUGGGAUUACAGAUCAAUUCGUGGGCAAAAGCAACAUAGUAGCAAAUUCACUUUCUACCUAUUCUUGGAUGACUCCCCAAACAAUAUUAUCUACAGCCCAGACGUUUCUAAGCUCCAGGCCCCACCGCACACCAGGCAUCUCUACUUGAUUGUCUACAUCCUUCUGGCUUGCUGUGUUUCAGACUGAACUUCCUCCUAUAUUCUUCUCAGAGAAGGGCUCUACCAUCUGCUGAAUUGCUCAAAUUUGAUUCCCUUCCCCGCAUCCAGCAGUUGCUCUUUCUUGUCCAUUCUGUUUCUUGUCUCUUGAAUCCACCCCCAUCACAUGGUCCCACCUGCCUCUCCCCUAGGCCAGGCCCGUGCCACCUUUUCCCCAGACUCUUCCUGCAGCUUUACUCUGCCAAUCAACUGAAUGGCUUAUUUUUAUUCUUGUGGUAAAAUACACGUAACAUAAAACUUAUCAUCUUAACCCUCCAAUUCAUUUUUGACAUUACUCCUGGAGUGACUUUUCAAAGCAUAAAUUUAGUUAUGUCUCAUCUUCCCAAACGUCUUUGGAAGUUCCCAUCACCUGUAGAAUAAAAUCCCUAACCUGACAUAUGAGCUUUCCUAAUUUCCCUGGACUAAUUUUCUCAUUAUAUCACACCCUGCUGUUGCACCCUGCACUCUCAGCAUCUUUGUGCUUCAUCCAGUGCAACAUGCUGGUUCCUACCUCCUUGCCAGUGCGCCUGCAGCUCCUUCUGAACUGAAUGCGACACCCACCUUCAAUGUGCCUUAACAGAUCCUUACUAGUUUUUCGUACCUUAGUUCAAGGUUCCUUCCUCUGUGAAACCUGGACUCACCCAAUUGGACCUUGACAUAUCUCACCUUACACCAUUUCUACUGUAUGUUGACUUCAGAGGUAGCACUUGAUUUCAUAAGGCUCUAGGCUUAAAUGAGACAUGUCACAAGUUGUGUUCUUCCAAAGCCGCCCGUUUUUGUCUUUUUGAAUAGCAUGGUUUAAAUUUCUAAUGGGUUGAAUUCACCUCUGAUGCAUUUGUGAAGCAAUAAGUUAAAUUCUGCAGAUAAAAUGCCUGCAAGUCAGCCUCCUCCUUCAAAAUGGCUGAAGACAAGUAUACAUCAAUAUUGUAGUUUUCAUAAAUGCUAUUCAUGUGAAUGAAAAGGAAAUAUGUUCACCUUUCAGGGAUCACAUGUGACUCUGGAAGGGUAUUUUCUGUGGCUGAGCACAGCUUUGAUUAUUUGAGGAUUUAGGUCUGAUGCAUCCGAUAAGGCUGCCAGUACUUGUAUAUUAUGGAAGAUGUCAUGUUGAUUUCUAUUGAUUGCUUGUCUCCCCAGUAGAAAGUAAACUCCUUUAGACUAAAGACCAUGUCUUUCUAUUAUAUACCUAGCAGCCAGAGUGGUAACUGCUAAUGCUAAAUGCCUAAUAUAUACUAGCUGAAUGAAAAAAGUGACCUUUUAGUAUUUCUUUUUCUUAACUUUUUCUUUUUCUGGGUCAGAAAGAAAACAAGUAGUAUUGAGGAUCCUCAGAAUAGGAAAUGCAAAUACUGCAUUCCAAUUAUUGGCAGGGACAUGAAGAAUAUCUGUUUCUAUAGUAAGGAGGAGUUAGGGUCCAAAAUAGAAACAGAAGUGAUACCCUGGCUAAAGAUGUACACAAAGUUCACAACUGGGUAAGGAAGCUGAAAUCCAAAUGCCAAUUUACUAAUGUGAGGAAAAAUGAGGGUAACUUACUAUGUUGUAGGGGAAAUUAUUAAGUAACAUGCAUGUGAAAUGUACCUUAUAACAGGUUCUGUAUUUUUAAAGGGAUAUAAUUAUGUGUUCAUGCAUAUUUGAGAAUUUUAUUACGUUGUGUUUUAUUAGUGGAACUAAAUCAGUAGAAUUAGAUAAACCUGACACACAAUAAGAUGUUUCAAUCAACAAGAUACUUGGGAUGCAGAGAAAGUGACUAUUUAGGUAAGAUAUUCUUGCAACCCCAAGAGAGGUAAACCAGACCACAGGUGGAAGUCUGGCAAGUAGGAGCCAUGAACUGCCUUGAGGGAGUUGGAAGCAGCUUUAAGACACUAUGAAGAAGGGCUCAACUUGUCCACAAAAUGUUUUAGGUCUACCAGUUUGAGAACUGCAGGACACACACCUGCACUUUGUUCCUCCCUCUGUUGUUGCCAUUGGUGAAAAUAAACCAAGUGCUCUCGACCACACAUUGCUUCACCCAUCUUUCUUAUCAGCAGUGCUACACAGAAGCAAUCCAUGGCCAGGAGAGUUUUCAUUUUCUUAAUGGCUUUUGCGUACACUGGGUUUACAAAUACUUAUGGCAGUUCACUAACUUAACCAACGUCCCUGCUCAUGCCACCACCAAAGAGUUGAAUUCAAAUGGAAGGAGAAAGAAUAGGUGGUCAACAGGUUCAGUAAUGAAAGAUGCCAUGUUGGGCAAGAACCAUAGUAAGGGACUAAAGGGCUGGGGGAUGGAAUGAGGAGUUUAGAAUCAGGGAAACAGUAGAUCAGCAGGUCAGAACAGGAGAGUGCAGUGAGGUCCCGAGAGGCCACCAUCCCACCCCAGCUACCAUGCAUGGAUUUUUCCCCAUGAGCCAUCCCAGGUGAACUGUUUGGGUGUCUAGCUGACUGACCCAAAGGGCUAGAAGUGAAGUGGCCAGGAGCAAUAGUUGCCAGAACCGAUGGUAAGAACGGUGGUAGAAACACCAGUGCAGUAGCUAGUUCUGUCCCCUAAGAGUUUGUUUUAUGUAGGAUCUAACAAAACAGGCAAGCAAUAUAACCAAGAAGUAUUUAUUAAGCAAUCUUCUGUGCUAAGUAAAGAAGGCUCUUGCCAGGCGCGGUGGCUCACACCUGUAAUCCCAGCACUUUGGGAGGCCGAGGUGGGUGGAUCACUUGAGGUCAGGAGUUCGGAACCAGUCUGGCCAACAUGGUGAAACUCCAUCUCUACCAAAAAAAUACAAAAAUUAGUUGGGCAUGGUGGCACACACCUGUAGUGGCAGUUAUUCAAGAGGCUGAGGUGGAAGGAUCACUUGAGCCCAGGAGGUCGAGGCUGCAGUGAGCCAAGAUUGUGCCACUGCACUCUAGCCUGGGUGACAGAGUGAGCCCCUAUCUCAAUAAAUAAAUAAAUAAGGCUCUUUAGGUAUCCUUAAUGCCUAGUGUAGUCCCUGGCGUUUUAGUAGGGCUCCAUAAAUAUUUGAAUCUAUUUGAAAGAUUCAAAUGGAUUAUGGAAACAAGACGAUAGCAAAUUAAGUAAAGUGGCAGCAUUUUUUUUUUUAACUUUUAAAUUCAGGUAUAGCAUGCACAUAGGCUUUCAAUGAACUUUUACAAAAUGAACACACCUAUAUAACCACCACCUAGAUCAAGAACUGUUUUACCAUCACCCCAAAAGUGUCACCUUGCGAAGAUAACCACUAUUACCACCAUCUCAUAGUUUGUUUCUAAUUUGGUCUGAGUGGAAUCAUACAUUAUGCAUUUUUGUGUCUGGUAUCUUUCAGUCAACAUUGUUUUUGAGAUAUUUAUCUCUGUAUGGCUAUAAUUCAUAGUAUUCCAUUGUUUAUAACAAAAUUUACCUAAUGUUGAUGUUCACUUGCGUUGUUUCUAAUUCAGGGCUAUUACAAAUAAAGCUUCUAUAAUGUG